UCCUCGUUAGUAUAGUGGUCAGUAUCCCCGCCUGUCACGCGGAGGCCGGGGUUCGAUUCCCCGACGGGGAG
rnacentral:tRNA from 1 species